rnacentral:rRNA from 1 species
AGUGAACGCUGGCGGUAGGCCUAACACAUGCAAGUCGAACGGCAGCACAGUAAGAGCUUGCUCUUACGGGAGGCGAGUGGCGGACGGGUGAGGUAUACAUCGGAAUCUACUUUUUCGUGGGGGAUAACGUAGGGAAACUUACGCUAAUACCGCAUACGACCUACGGGUGAAAGCAGGGGAUCUUCGGCCCUUGCGCGAUUGAAUGAGCCGAUGUCGGAUUAGCUAGUUGGCGGGGUAAAGGCCCACCAAGGCGACGAUCCGUAGCUGGUCUGAGAGGAUGAUCAGCCACACUGGAACUGAGACACGGUCCAGACUCCUACGGGAGGCAGCAGUGGGGAAUAUUGGACAAUGGGCGCAAGCCUGAUCCAGCCAUACCGCGUGGGUGAAGAAGGCCUUCGGGUUGUAAAGCCCUUUUGUUGGGAAAGAAAAGCAGCAGGUUAAUACCCCGCUGUUCUGACGGUACCCAAAGAAUAAGCACCGGCUAACUUCGUG